CCUACGGGUGGCAGCAGUGAGGAAUAUUGGUCAAUGGACGAGAGUCUGAACCAGCCAAGUAGCGUGAAGGAUGACGGCCUUAUGGGUUGUAAACUUCUUUUAUAAAGGAAUAAAUGGAGGUACGUGUCACUUUUUCCAUGUAUCUUAUGAUUAAGGAUCGGCUUACUCCGUGCCAGCAGCCGCGGUAAUACGGAGGAUCCGAGCGUUAACCGGAUUUAUUGGGUUUAAAGGGAGCGUAGUGGGGUUGUUAAGUCAGUUGUGAAAGUUUGCGGCUCAACCGUAAAAUUGCAUUUGAUACUGGCAGUCUUGAGUACAGUUGAGGUAGGCGGAAUUCGUGGUGUAGCGGUGAAAUGCUUAGAUAUCACGAAGAACACCGAUUGCGAAGGCAGCUUACUAAACUGUGACUGACGUUGAUGCUCGAAAGUGUGGGUAUCAAACAGGAUUAGAUACCCGGGUAGUC
rnacentral:rRNA from 1 species